rnacentral:lncRNA from 1 species
AUGCAAGAUGAUCUUCAGGGUGAAGACGAGAUACAGGCCCCAACUCAACACCACCCAAUGAGGAAUAUUUUGUACACAACGUCAGACGCCCAUGAAGACAAAUUUCUUGGUGCAGAAACCAGUAAGUUACCUCAAUAUUGUCUACACCUGCCACCCUGCAAGAGGCCUCUGCAUCAAGAUUUGAUGGAAUGUCGGAAUUCCUCCUCCAUCUCACGUUCCCAUGUACCUUCCGCCUUUGCUAGUAACCAUUUGAUGACCACAGGAUGUACCGAAAGGAAAAGAGCCAUGAAUGUUUACUACAUGCGUGUCCUAACCAGAAGGGGCGUCGCUAUCUUUGAGGAUCCAUCUGGAGAAUUGCAGCCUCCCCCAAAAAGGAUAAGCAUAGCCAAACUUACCUUUCCUGAGAGGAUUCCUCCAAAAGUUACCCUCACUGACGAUACACAGCACGUCCUAACUAACAGUGAAGUCCAAGAGGAAUGGGAACAGGCUGAGAGUGCAGCAGAGCCUCUGGCUCAGGAGGCCCGUCCCAGCGCUAAAUCACGUCCAUGGCUGGAGGACCUAGAGAGGGGCUUCAGGUGCAUGGGCUGCUGCAGGGUCUUCCGCACUUUGGAGAUCCUUCUGAAACACGUGGAGUGUGGCGUUGAGGAGGGCUUUUCCUGCCUUACUUUCCACCUUGCCUUUGCCAGGCUGCGGAGAAAAUACAAGAAGGAAAGAAAGAAGAUUGUUAAGGAUGGAGAAUGGCCAUAUUAGCACAACAUCUGGAGGCUCUAGAUGUAGUUUUGUUACAUUCGUAUUUUGAAUUUCUUUGUCAGUUUGUGUUUUGCUUUUUUAAUAAAUACAAAUUUUCCUAUCUUUGAUGGUUAGGAGAGGUUGUAUAUAAGUUUAGACUUCAGUACCACAAACUUGUGGUCUUAAAUCUCUUCCCU